rnacentral:rRNA from 1 species
AUUGAACGCUGGCGGCAGGCCUAACACAUGCAAGUCGAACGAGUGGCGGACAGGUUAGUAAUGUCUGGGAAACUGCCUGAUGGAGGGGGAUAUCUCCUGGAAACGGUAGCUAAUACCGCAUACCAUCAGAUGUGCCCAGAUGGGAUUAGCUUGUUGGUGGGGUAACGGCUCAUCAAGGCGACGAUCCCUAGCUGGUCUGAGAGGAUGACCAGCCACACUGGAACUGAGACACGGUCCAGACUCCUACGGGAGGCAGCAGUGGGGAAUAUUGCACAAUGGGCGCAAGCCUGAUGCAGCCACGCCGCGUGUAUGAAGAAGGCCUUCGGGUUGUAAAGUACUUUCAGCGGGGAGGCGUUACCCGCAGAAGAAGCACUGGCUAACUCCGUGCCAGCCGCCGCGGUAAUCC